AUUUAUUAUAAAAGGAGGGACCUGUAGAUCUGCUCGCUCUCUGACAGCUGAUACGCACCUCCCCCUUCCGGGUUUACCUGGCUGCAGGUCCGGCAGACGCUCGGCACUCUCAGCAGGGUUGCACAUAUUGUUCCACCGUGCAGGUAUGUGGCAGUCUAUUGCGCGUCUGCGAUUUAGUCUCCACCGUAAUAAACUUGCGUUUAUGUGCAGGCGCUGGCAGGUCGGACUGCGUGUUUGCUCGUUUUGUCCCGGAGCUAUGCCACGCUGAGGUUCCGACUACCCUGACCCGUUUUGGACUGCUGCUGCUUUGUGGGGGAAUAAAACCCACACUUUUUACGGACAUUGCCUGCUGCUGUGUUCGGGCGCUGAGGGCCUCACUGGUGAUCCUGUUUGGUGAUGGUGUCCCUUCGUGUGUAGUGUCUUAUUCACUCCCCUCCUUUGUUUUGCUUUGUCUUUGUGUGUUUGGAGUGUUAAUUUUGGAUUGUGGUGCUCCCAUUUUAAGUUUAUA